GAUGAAGAACGCAGCGAAAUGCGAUAAGUAAUGCGAAUUGCAGAAUUCCGUGAGUCAUCGAAUCUUUGAACGCACAUUGCGCCCUUUGGCAUUCCGAAGGGCAUGCCUGUUCGAGCGUCAUUUAUCAACCCUCAAGCCCGGCUUGCGGUUGGGUCCCGCCGUGGGCGACCACGGCGGACCCGAAAGGUAAUGGCGGUGCCCGUGGGGCCCUGGACGCAGCGAGCUUCUCGGCACGCGUCCCGGCGGUCCCCGGCGCCGUCUCCACCAAUCCACCACGCAGAUUGACCUCGGAUCAGGUAGGGAUACCCGCUGAACUUAAGCAUAUCAAAAGCGGAGGA
rnacentral:misc_RNA from 1 species